UCAUCAUUUCCCUUAUUUUUCUAAUUUUUCUCCAAACCCUAUUUUCUCGCACAUAAUCAUUUUCCCCAACCCUAUCUUUUCCCUUGGAACCCCACCCUCCCUCGCGCGCUUCUCUUAGAGAUUGGGAGACCAUUAAAUCCAACGAUUCCUUGCUUGGACUCAUGUGCAGACGGUUGGAAUGGCAGUGGCGAGGGAUGCGAAGGAAGGAGAGGAAUCCGAUGGUCUGAGAGGCGUUCUACUUUUUUGAGGAACAGAUCCUCCAAGACGCGAAAAGCACCAUAGAAGAAAACGGCAGCGAUACCAAAUUUGUUCUGAUUUAGGGUUUAUCUUCUCACACAAUCCAAAGUUGCGCUCACCACCACUGGUUUCGAUUCUACACCUUCUCGAAAAGUCCUUGAAGCAUUGGCGUCGUCUUCGUCGUGGUCUCUCUUACUCACACUAGAGUCACUCUUUGUUCUCUAUCGCUCGUAUCGCGCUGUGUGUCGAAGGAGAUUGGAUUUGGUCGUUGACUUCUGAAUGCGGUGAGAAAUCGAAGAAACCCUAGGUUGGUUUGUUCGAAUCAGUUCGAGGUCCAAUCACCCUCUGCACCAGGUAAUUAUGAAUUGGUUAGAAUUGGGUUAGUUUUAAUUGGAUGUAUACUAUUAGGAGAGGACAUGUUAAUCCCAUCACUAUUGUUCAAAUGGAGUGCCCCUUUGGACUCGUGACAUUGAGGAGGAGAUAGUUCCUCUCUGUAGAAACUUGAGCUUCUUGGUCUUUCUGAGGAUCAGAAGCGGCUCGUAACUAUGUGGACCUCAUUUGUUAAGAAACAUUGUGUGCUGGUAGAUGGCCAUAUGAAUUGGCAUACGAAGCUCCCUGUUCCAACAACAAUGUCUUGAAUUUAUUGAAGAGUGUUCUCAUAUCCCAAUCAAAAUCUCCAAAUUGGGUUGCUCUUAAUGCGUUUCAGAGACCUCGGAGAACAGUGGCAAGAUAUUAAAUGCAUUCCAGCGGUUGGUGUAUUAUCAGGAAUUUGAUUUCAUUUUAGUAGGUGCCAAAAUUUCUUCCAAUCAGUUUGACGACUCUCUGUCUUUGUUGCCGAGAAGGAUGAUACCAGAGAAUUAAAGGUUCCUUUGUUUUUGUCAUCGUGGCCAAAGUUGCAUGCAACAAAAAAACCUGAAGAUGAUGCUCUACAUGAAUGAAUAUUUUCUCGGGUUUGGAAAACAUAGGAUGAACUGAUACAUAUGAGAAAUUAGGAAGAAAUUUUUCUGGGUUUUCUUCCCAACCAAAUGGAACUGAGGCAAUUAGCUUAAGAGGAGUUUGAGGGGAGUGGACACUUAAGAAACCUCUAAAAAAUUAGACAUUGUUUCUUUUUUAGUAAUAUAAUGAACAUCUUAGUCAUAUUUUUGAUAUUUUAAUUUAGUAUUGAAUAUUUUUCUUU